rnacentral:sRNA from 1 species
GUUUCAAUUCCUCAUAGGCAGGCUAUCGGCGACCACUGAGCCAAACAUCCCCUUCUUGGUUGAGUUG